ACCGCUUCUCGGCCUUUUGGCUAAGAUCAAGUGUAGAGUCUGUUCUUAUCAGCUUAAUAUCUGAUAUGGACCUAAUUUGUUCAAGAUAUUAAACUUAUUUUUGAAAGUGGCGUCCCUACGAAGCUUGCUUCGAGGGCGCUAGGGUCGACCCGGUAUUGCACUACUUCCGGGAGUGGCCCGUCCCCC
rnacentral:snRNA from 1 species